AAUUAGAAAGCGAAAUAUUUGCAUUCAGUUUCGACCUGAAUUUUGGCCUAAGCCUCUGAUUU
rnacentral:tRNA from 1 species